UUGAAAGUACAGACACUUGCACUGUCUAGCCCCAUAUACCAUCUUAGAGCAGCACCAGUUAAACUGUCUUGAAAGUAGUGAAUCAAUAACUGAUCAUUAUCAGUUUGAGUUGACAUCUUUUUGGCGUACAUGACAAGGUGGCUAAGUGGACAAGUAUUUCCCUUAUACUUAUCAAAGUCAAGGACUUUGAACUUCAUCGGGAUUUUCACAUUCAG
rnacentral:lncRNA from 1 species